UUGUUGAGGCUCGGUAAUGUCCCGAGCCGCCGAUUUUAAUUAGAGGUCCCAUAAAUAAGCUCGAACAUAAAUUAUUGUAUGUCGUGUGUGCCUGUAGGGGUAGGCGGGGCAAUAUGGACACUCUAAGGUUUUUGCCAACUUUACCUGGCAAGAUGUAAAUAAAGUUUAGUUUUUUGAUACAUGUAUCCUUUUGAAGUCUAUUUUGCAUCUAUUGCAUAAGAAUGCUCACGAAGAAAAAUGAUUUAUCCACUUCAAAAAAUGUUUUGAAAAAUGUUAGUUUUUCAUGACCGUCUUCAAGCAUACGGGGCAGAAUGGACACCCCCAUGGGGCAAUAUGGACACCACGAGACUUUUACGAAUUUCGUACAUUAUCUACACCUAUAAAGUCAUUUCAUUACAAAACAACUAUUAUGGAUGAAUAAUACGCCGAAGUAGUUCAUUUUUGUUCAGUUAAUUUAAAUUCAGGCUGUUUUGGAUAAAGCUUCGUUUUUGUCAGCAUGUACAGCUGUGCCUAGAACAACUAUUUUCCACUUCUGUCGUUUUUUGACCAAUUUGUUUCACCCUAUGUCUACUAUAGUGAACAUUUAACCGAAAAUAUACUGAAAUCGAAGAAUUUACUUGGUUUGUGAUUUAGGUUAUAUUUUUCCCUUGCCGCUUCUUUCAAAAAGGUGAGUGUCCAUUUUGCCCCGGCAGCAGAAGAUAUUUCCAAACUUGAUUUUUGAUAUAAUAAAGAAGAAAAUAUAAACAUGUUAAGCAUGUAGAUACAGCAAAACUACUUGCAUGUGUUCUAGAAAUAUCAGGUUUUAAUCGACCUGCAAUAAAUUAAUCACUAAAUCUUAUUUUAGAUGGUGUGAAAAUUAUAAUUUCCAUGCACAAAAAACGGAGGACGCAACUUUUUUGUGUAAAAUCAAGUAUAAUUUCAAUUUCGAAUGUUUAUUUCCUGAAACUACGUUUUAGACAAAUGGACUAUAUUCUCCAUUCAUUAAAAGUUCAAAAAAGUUCGCAUAUUUCAAAACAUUGAGGGUGUUCAUUCUGCCCCGGGUGUCCAUAAUGCCCCACCUACCCCUACCUGCUUUCAGCCGGGAUAAAGUCGUUUAUGCCUCGGCCAUAAAAUGCAAUCGAGCAGCUAACCAGUGCCUGGGUGGAAUGAUAAAUGUUAUGGCUUAUGGAUCGUUUACUAUCGAAAUGAGAGUAAUAAUUAUUGAUGUGCUAAGCGCUCUUUCAUCGGAUAUAAAUUCGGACGCAAGCUAGUAUUAUCCUCUUUGGGCGAGCCGUAAUGGACAUUUAAUGUAAUUAUUGGGCAGAUGGCGAUGAAAGGCUGAUAACCAGUAAUCAAGUCAUGUAAUAUGUUCUGUCAGCGCUGCCACAAAGGUCAAGGAGCAUGUAAGCUCGUAAUAUUUAUGCUGGGUUCGCUGUAGAGCGAAGAGCGAGUUCGUGGUUCAUUCUUCGCCGCCAAACACUGUUCUGCUACAACCCGCUCUAGUUGCUCGAAUACUCCAGGACUACCAGUCUAAUCAGCGUUUUGUAGAUAGUUAACUUCGUAAAUGACGGCGAACUUUGUUCGAUCGUAGUUCUGCGCAGUUCAAAGUAAGCUCGAUUUCCAGUGAGUCCAAGUACACGCAUGCUUCAACCGUCUCGAUUCCAUUACCGUCGAUAAAAAUCUGGGUGGCGGAAGCGGUGAUUCUUCCCUGGAGCCCUUUGCCAUCAUGUACUUUGUCUUCGUCAGAUUAAUGACUAAUCCGAUUCGCGUGGCAUCAUUCUUUAGUCGGAUGUACGUUUCCGCCAUCGUCUCACAUUUGCGAGCUAUAAUAUCAAUAUCAUCAGCGAAACCAAGCAGCUGAAAGGACUUCGUGAAAAUCAUUCCACUCGUGUUUAUCCCCGCUCUCCUUAUUACGCCCUCUACAGCAAUGCUACACAGCAAGCAAGAAAGACCAUCACCUAGCCGCAUCCCUCUCUGCGAGAUUCGAAGGGACUCGAGAGUGUCCCUGAUACUCGAACUACGCACAUCACUCGAUCCAUCGUCGCCUUGAUUAAUCGUAUCAGUUUAUCCGGGAAUCCGUAUUCGUGCAUAAUCUACCAUAGCUGUUCUCGAUCGAUUGUAUCAUACGCCGAUUUGAAAUCGAUGAACAAGUGAUGUGUGGGCACGUUGUAUUCACGGCAUUUCUGCAACACCUGGCGGAUGGCGAACAUCUGGUCCGUUGUAGCGCGUUCACCCAUAAAUCCAGCCUGAUAUUGGCCCACGAACUCUCUUGCAAUCGGUGAUAGAUGGUGGCAUAGAAUUUGAGAGAGUAUCUUGUAGGCAGCGCUCAGUAGUGUGAUCGCGCGAUAGUUCCCGCAAUUCAACUUGUCGCCCUUUUUGUAGAUGGGACUCACGGUCCCUUCAAUCCAUUCCUUCGGUAAUAAUUCCUCUCACCAGUACUUCUCCACCGUAUUUAAACUUGUUUGGUAUUUUAUCUACUACAGCGGCUUUGUUGUUUUCAACCAAUCAACCUCCUCUUCAAUCACUUGGAGGUUAGGAGCCGGAAGUCUUUUGUCCUGCGUACGUACUCCUAGAUCUGUUACCACGCCAACUUCGCACUAUAGGAUAUCAGGCGGACAAAAAUCAGAAAAGUGACUUCCACUAAUGCUUGUUCUGAAAUUUUCUAUCGAUAAUAAACAUAUAAACAAAGAGAAAUCUAGAAUUUCAAGUUUCUAGCUGAUGUUUGUACAAAGAUAUUGAGUAUCGAAGUUGAGUAAAGAUAAAAAAUGUAAUUUUCGCAAAAAAACAACACAUAAUUUCAAAUCGAUAUUUUCUAAUUAUGAUCAUCAUUAUCUAUUGGUUUCAAUACAUCAUUGGCAAGAUAAUGAAGCAAGCUUUCCAACAAACACGUGGUUUUGUGAAAUAAUUGAACCAUUGUAUGAAAAAAGGUACAAGAAGAAGAAGAAGUUGAAAAAGGCGUGAGAUUCAAAUUUUGAUAAUCGGCAUCUUUUUUUCCCAAACAUUCCCAGGCUCAAAAUCAGUUCAUGGUCAAGCUUUAGGUCUACUCUAAUGAUUUUGUAUGCGAAAUGCUGCGGUAAAUUGCGGUCUUGGGAGAUUCAGCGUUUUUUUACGCACGAGACCGCCCGGGCACACCCCUUGAUUAAACGACGAUUCUCAAACAUUCUAAGCAAAUUCCCUUGGAAUUUAUUUUUGAAAGUAACUACACAAUAGUGUUAAUCAUUCUUAGCACAAAAAAACAAAAUAAAAAUUUAAAAAAUAAAACAAAUUCAAACUUUUUAUAUAUUAUCAGUUAUUUUACCAUAUUGAAAAUACGCCCUUUUCAAAAUUUGGUUCAUAAACAAUAUAUUUUAGUCGAACCAACUACAGAAUACUAAUAAAUCCUCGAAAAUAUUUUUGUCCGCCUGCUUGUAUGGGAAUCCCCCAUAGUGCUUCGGUGCUUAAAACGUCGCCAUUGAGGUGCUCAUCGUAAUGUUGCCGCCACCUCUCGACCACCUCACGAUCGCUCGUGAAAAGAUUCCCGUGAUUGUCGUGGCACAUGUCGGCUUGUGGCACAAAGCUCUACGCUCAAGCGGUUCGGCUUCUCGGAGAACUUCCGUUUGUCCUUAGUGCGGUACAGCUCUUUCAUCGCUCCGCAAUCUCGUUCUUUCUGCUGACGCUUCUUUCUCCGGAAGACUGAGUUUUGCCUGUUCCCGCGCCUGUUUAUAACGUGCCUCAUUCACCCUCGAACGGUGUUGCAAAAUUCUCGUCCAUGCUGCUUUCUUAUCAUUUUUCAACUGUACACUUCGCCAUUGUACCAGUCAUUUUUGUGAUUCGGAGUCGCGAAGCCUAGUGCUGCAGCCGCUGUAAUUUAGAGCAUUAUUGUGAUGAUUUAUUUAGCUUAGACCAAGUCUUAAAUGUUUUUUAACCAUGAAAUUUCUGCCAAUAAUAAUAUACUUAUUAACUUACUUGUUACGGUUUUUCCCUUCAGUCUAUGUGCUAACAAUCGGUAUCUGUGUGUUAUGACCAGCCCAAGGUAGUCUACCGUAUUUUUACCUCAAUAUUAUUUUUAGUAUUUUUAGUAACAUAAAAAUCGGCCUGCACUAUUUCCAUAUUGAGUCUCAAAUAAACAAUAUUCAAUGCAUAACAUCGUAAUGGCUACGGUUAGCGGCGCCAAUCGUUUAGACAUAUUGUAAGCAAAGGAGUGUGAGUUCAAUUCCCACUCCAACAAAAAAAACUCUCCAUUGGGCCACUGGGUGUCGCAUAUUUUGUCCAUUUGUUGGUAGACAACAUAGAAAUUGAGGUUACAGUAAACAGUAACGUUGGCGAUGAUAAGAAAUUAAUCAACGCAAUUUGUUAGACUAAAAGCCGAAAUUUCCAGAAAGUCAAUUUGACAUCUUUUCGUCUAAUUAUAUCCUGAUCUAUAUUUUGUAUUGAAACAAAAGAACUGCUAUGGUGUAGGCUAGACUAGACAAAAUAAGAAUAAUACCAAACAAAGUAGCUCAGAGUUGAUCGUAAAGGUUCAAAGGGAUCUUAUUCUUUUUGGGAAAUUAAGCUAGAUUUCUGUGCAGUUGCGAUAUUGCCCCCACUCGCAUAACAGUCCCAUCUUUGCAGGAUUUUCUAUGCAUAUGGGACUGUUAAGCGAGUGGGGGCAGUAUAGUAAUUAUAUAUUUUCACUCUAAACCACUUUUUAAGAGCUCGAGCUUGAUUGACCAUCGUGGAUGCUACUCCAGUAUCACCACUCACACAAGGAACGAAUGAGAUCUGCCGGGAACUAGCAGUCAUCUUCAGUGUGUGAGCGUUGGUGAUCUUCUUUUUUUAGGCGAGAAUAGCGCCUGCGACGUCAGGUUGCCGGUCAAUGUGGGGAAGAGAAAGGAAGUGAUGAUUGCAAUCAUGGGUAUCCACAUCAGACCGAUAUACCUCUGCAUCUGCUCAAAUUCAUGCGAAUGUUCGAGUGUUGAUGGGAUAUGGUUGGCUUGGUGAGGGUACACACAUUGGUGCGUGUAUGCCAGGCAGGCAGUCUAAACCACUUUUUAAGAAUAGAAUAAUGCUUGUUCACUCAUGUUUGCAUAUUUAUCGACUACUAAUAUUUGUGGAAAGUUUCGAUCAGAAAGAGAUCGAUUAAUUCUUUUUCCGUUAGGUUUUUUUUUAGCAAUCAGUUAUUUUAUCCAUUGUGGUAGGGCCGUUCAAGCCACAAAAGCAUAUAUUUCUCAUAUUCCGGCCUACAGAGUACAUACAACCAUACUGAGCUAACAUACAUAUUUACAGUUUAACAUUAAGUAUUAUUUUAUCAAUUUUAUUCAAAAAUGGUGUAGACAUCAAGAAAGCUUAAACGUAUCCACGAAUAUUUACUAUAUUACGAUAAGUUUGAACAUAAUGCACUGAAAACACAUGCCAAAAGUGCAAUGUGAUUAAUUUAUUAUAUUUUUUUUGAAUUGCAAAACUGUCAUUCUUCAAAUAUGUUCGGUAUGGGAUUUCCUAAGUGUUAAGUCCCUCUUUAUUGAAAAUUAUUAUGAUUGCAUAAAAAACUACUCUUUUGUUUGAACUUACCUUAUUAUUGUUAUAUUCUUUGCAAGAUCUGAACAAGUGAUCUACCACAGAGACUUAAUAUUUAUUCAAGGACUACCACAUCUUGAGUCGUGCAAUGUUGUUAAACUGCAAUUCACUAAAACCAUACGCGCCAAUUUGUGACGUAGUUAGGGGGGCGAAGCUCCCCAAAAUUGAACAAAAUGCAACUUUUUUCGAGUAAAUGCACUAGUUUCCACGUGAAUAUGCCUAAUUUGGAUAAACUGCAUCGAUUUGGUCAACAUUUUAUUGGUUUUGAGAGGCCUUGCCCCCCCAACUACGUCACAAGUUGUCGCGUAUGACUAUAACAAUUGGUGAGGUUAACACAUGGCAGACUUUCAUGGGCUGGUCACAUCACACGGCUGCCGGAAAACGAAAUGCGAACAUAAUACAAGGGAGGAAGUUAUAGGGAUCAUACUCGGCCGCGAAAACGUUAUUGAAUUAUUUGUAGUUGGGUAGGGUUUAACGGAAUUUGAAGCUCUAGGUGAUAAAAGGUGCCUAUCCCAUAACCGGCCCAGUUGUAACUAGCUGCCUGCCAACUACUAACCCGUACAAGCUAGCAGCAGCAAGAAACUCCUCGAACUGGGUCUCAGAGUCGGCUUACUACUGGGUGAUCAAGGGACGCGUGACAAAGUAUGGAAAACACAAGAAUUUUCAUGUUCUUUAAACAAUUUAUGAACCCUAUUCUGUGGCGUGUGGGUGUAAGAAAACAUUUCGUGUGGCGUGUAUGAGAGGGGAUCGAUCACUGGGUACUCACUACUCUACUCCUUCGGCGUUGACCUCCACGGUUACGCACGAUUGCGGUAGCCCUACCGUGUGGCCGGAUUCUCGCAGCGGGGCUGCUCGGUGAUGGUGCCCGUGGAUCCGGAAGCACAUCGGAUCUGUCCAGCGGCUUUGCUUGGUUGUUGUUGCUGGGCUUGAAGGCGUCUUCUCUCAUAGGCUGUAUCGGCACGGCCCAGGACGAGACCAGAGUGACCGUGCCGAGAGAGGUCCCUCCUAGAUAAUUAGAGCCGGCGGCCCGAGGGAUUCGUCCGGAAUCGGACGACGGGGUGUCCUUGGCAUUUAGACUCGGAAGCCAUUUUGACUUCCGAGCCGACCCGUGUGAGGACCGUAUUUUAAAAUACGGCAAGAGGUCCUAGAGGAAAUAUAUUGUUCCGUCAGGAUGGUCGGAGAUUUUUGAUAGGGACCAAAUUACCUGAACGGGAGUAGGCCGCAAUCCCGGUAUCCCUCCAUAAAAGGGGGGGGGGGGUGGUAGAAAAA